GAAGCGCAUGGAUGGGGCUUGCUAUGAGCUGAGGAUCUCAACCAGGUGAGCUCCCAGCCUAUACCCAGACCUGAGCCUCGGUCGGUGGCUGCGGCUCCACGCCACCGGGACCUCUCUUAGCAAAUUACGCCAUCUACUGGCCCAAAGGCGUUUGGCUGGAGCUGGGGCAUAAAAAGUGAUGCUGCGAUGCUUAUCCUCUGGUCCUCGGUAACACGAGAAGGAAUGUCUCAUCUAAGGUUCUCCAGCGUCACUUGGAAUGGUCAGGCCUUUCACAUCAUUGAUAUGGGAUCUCUCAAUGAAGAAAUUCUUUCAACUAGUGCAGAGGACACUCAGACAUUAAGUGACUUGGUUAAAAUCACCCAAGUAAUUAAGAAUCAGAGGUGCUGGACACAGAGAAGUAUAAGAUAUAACCCUGUCCAGAAGGAAAAGAUUGAUAAUCCAGCCUGGAAGACUAAAUUAGCAAUUGGCCUCUAAUUCCAUGUAAGAGCUAAAAAUGUGCGCAAUGAAAAGAAUUCAGGAAAGAAGAGGAUGUGUGUGGGCUAAAAGAGCUGGAAAAGAUAGGAUCUGAGCUGGUCCUGAAGGAUGAAGUUUCACAAAGAAAAGUGAAGCAGAUGGAAAGAGGACAAGCCUGUAGCAGAAACUGUGAAGAGACCAUCUGACUACAGCAGAGUUUAUUUAGGGGUAUGGGAAACAAGGUUCCAUGGAAAAAGUGUGGUCAGAUUAUAAUGGUGGACUCAAUGCAAUGAUGGCUUUAUGCCAGGUGUCUCAGUUUUAAUACCUGCUUCUUUCAUGACAUGACUAAUAUAGAAAUAUGGUUUGCAUGAUUGCACAUGUAUAACCUAUAUA